AGGAAACAAAAGAAGACGAUAAAAAAAUGAAUUCAACAAGAGUUAUAGUUAAAUUGAAAAGAAAAUUGAAACCUAGUUUUAUUAGUUCUCCCUCAAUUUUAUCACGGUAGCCUUCUGAUAUUUUCCACUACUCAUUUUAGUUAUCCGGAAAAUUCUUUUCCUCCCACUUCUACCUCACAAAUAAAAAUAUUCCACUACAAAUAAAAAUAUUCCACUACUCAUUUUAGUUAUCUGGAAAAUUCUUUUCCUCCCACUUCUACCUCACAAAUAAAUAUAGGGUUAUGGUCGGGUCUUUUCACAAAAUUCAUUCUACUUGCUUUUUGGAGUAGUAAUUGUCAUAUUUCUUAAUGUCUUUUCUACAAAAAAAGAUUGUAAAAUUAGAUUUCUUUUUAAAUUCUUUUUUUCUGAAACAUUUUUCUCCCAUUGUUUUUAUGGCUUCUCA
rnacentral:lncRNA from 1 species